ACCGCGGUGCACUGCGGCGGUGCGAGCGGGGGCGGCCAUAAACUCCGCCGCCGAGGCUCGGCGAGCGCGCGCGCGGGGCAGCCACCGUCGCCGCCUGGCCGCUGCCCGAGCCCGCUCGCCGGCCUGCGCGGCCCCCGGAGCGCCCCGGCCCCACGCCCGGCCCCGCUCGCGCCGCGCCGCCGGGGCCGCCCGCACCUCCUGGAGCUGACGGGUGCCCCCGAGCGCGGCGAGAACGCGCUUCUUCCGGGCAGCCCCGCCGCGCCCGCCGCCCCCGCGCCCGCCUCGCGGCCGGCCCGGGCCCCUUCCGCACCCCCGGCCCGCGCUUACCUGCAGCCUGGCACAGCCACAGACACUCGCCGUGGGCUCCCCGCGCUCGCUGCACGCAGGCCGGGGACGGGAUGGACGCGGGGCGCGGGGGCACGCCAAACGUAAAACACCUGCGCGAGGAACAGUGUCCCACCAAGUGCCAGGAGCACUCUCCCCUUGCUGCUCUGAAAACGCUGGACAUGGUACAUGAACAGGAAGCAGACUUAAUCCAGGACGAUGCGGAGGAAAAAAGUUAAUAAUUCACUCAUGAAAUUUUACUUUCAAAUGAAAUACAUUCAUCACACUAUCCUAAGAAAAGACUCUGAUCAAACUUCCAUUUGAAUGACUAUAUGAGGACUUAACAACAGCACUGAAAUGAAAUGAGUGAAAAUGCUGAAUUAGCGGAGACACAAAACACUACUCUGUUUGUGGAUCAAGAGAAGAAACUUGUUAUUAAUAGAGAGCAACAAUAGAAAUACUAUAUACUAUCUGGAAAUCAAAUAAAAGGAAAGCUAAUUACUAAUGAGAUUCACAUUUACAGAAUACACAUUUACAGAACAUUAUCCUUAGAAUUAUGUUCCCAUGAGGUUUUCACUGGAGUUACUGUAUAAACACUUAAAUGAUAGCAAUGAAACCAAAAGAGAAAAAGCUCAAACUCAUUUUAGAAGAAAGAUCAAAAAUUAUUAUUGCUGUGUUUCUGGAUGAUUUCAGGGUCUUUUUAAGAACAAAAAUACCUUAAUUAUACUACCUAGAAAUAGAAUAAAAUGGAAGCAAUUAAUUGAUAAGAUUCACAUUGAAAGGAUCUACAGUUAUAAAACAUUAUUCUAAGAAUUCUAAUUAUAUCAGGCUUCCACUUGAACCACUGUAUUAUCUCUUAAUUAACAGCAAUAAAAGUAAUGGACAAAAAAAGUUUUCUUCAGUAGAAAGAAAUAUAGUUG
ensembl:lncRNA